UGGUUUAAUUCGAUGCAACGCGAAAAACCUUACCACUCCUUGACAUGGAGAUUAGAUCCUUCUUAACGGAAGGGCGCAGUUCGGCUGGAUCUCGCACAGGUGCUGCAUGGCUGUCGUCAGCUCGUGUCGUGAGAUGUUGGGUUAAGUCCCGCAACGAGCGUAACCCUCAUCCUUAGUUGCCAGCGGGUUAAGCCGGGCACUUUAAGGAAACUGCCAGUGGUAAACUGGAGGAAGGUGGGGAUGAUGUCAAGUCAGCACGGCCCUUAUGGGGUGGGCUACACACGUGCUACAAUGGUGACUACAAUAGGUUGCAACGUCGCAAGGCUGAGC
rnacentral:rRNA from 1 species